rnacentral:tRNA from 2 species
GCCGAGGUGGCGGAAUUGGCAGACGCGCCGGACUCAAAAUCCGGUGGUGACGACACUGUGAGGGUUCAAGUCCCUCCCUCGGUA